GCCGAAGUGGCGGAACAGGCAGACGCGCUACGUUCAGGGCGUAGUGGGCUUCGGCCCAUGUGGGUUCGACUCCCACCUUCGGCACCU
rnacentral:tRNA from 1 species